rnacentral:lncRNA from 1 species
CUAGGUCCAGCGCCACUACUAUUUUCUUCAUUCAUCGUCACCUAAAAAUCAUAUAAUAUAUAUUAGAACUCUAUUCUAAUCCACAAAUCAUACUAGAACUAUAGUAGUACUACACACAUAGUUCAUGCCACAUAUUCACAACUAACGUCCACAUAUCUCUUAGACCUAUUCUUCAAACUUAAGAUCACACUAGUCUAGAAUCUUAAUCCUACUUUCGCCGACACUCGAACCUCGCUCUGAUACCACCUGUGACGCCCCCGGCCCGGGAUGACCUCAGUAACCCGACCCGGGGAUG